GGCGGCGUACCCAAGUGGUUAAGGGAGCGGUCUGCAAAACCGUUAUUCAUCGGUUCGAUUCCGAUCGCCGCCU
rnacentral:tRNA from 1 species